ACUCCGGGAACCGGGGCUAAUACCGGAUAAUAUUUUGAACCGCAUGGUUCAAUAGUGAAAGACGGUUUCGGCUGUCACUUAUAGAUGGACCCGCGCCGUAUUAGCUAGUUGGUAAGGUAACGGCUUACCAAGGCGACGAUACGUAGCCGACCUGAGAGGGUGAUCGGCCACACUGGAACUGAGACACGGUCCAGACUCCUACGGGAGGCAGCAGUAGGGAAUCUUCCGCAAUGGGCGAAAGCCUGACGGAGCAACGCCGCGUGAGUGAUGAAGGUCUUCGGAUCGUAAAACUCUGUUGUUAGGGAAGAACAAAUUUGUUAGUAACUGAACAAGUCUUGACGGUACCUAACCAGAAAGCCACGGCUAACUACGUGCCAGCAGCCGCGG
rnacentral:rRNA from 1 species